rnacentral:rRNA from 1 species
AUUGAACGCUGCCGGCAGGCCUAACACAUGCAAGUCGAGCGAGCGGCGGACCGGUGAGUAAUGUAUGGGGACUGCCCGAUAGAGGGGGAUAACUCAUGGAAACGGUUGCUAAUACCGCAUACUAUCGGAUAACCCAUAUGGGAUUAGCUAGUAGGUGGGGUAAAGGCUCAGCUAGGCGACGAUCUCUAGCUGGACUGAGCGGAUGAUCAGCCACACUGGGAGUGAUACACGGCCCAGACGCCAAGGGAGGAGGAAGUGGGGAAUAGUGCACAAGGGGCGCAAGCCUGAUGCAGCCAUGCGGAGUGUAUGAAGAAGGCCUUAGGGUGAGAAAGUACUUUAAGCGAGGAGGCGUUACCCGCAGAAUGAGCACCGGCUAACUCCGUGCCAGCAGCCGCGGUAAUAC